UACGGAGGGUGCGAGCGUUAAUCGGAAUUACUGGGCGUAAAGGGUACGUAGGCGGUUAUUUAAGUGAGGAGUGAAAGCCCUGGGCUUAACCUAGGAAGUGCUUUUCAAACUGGAUAACUGGAGUACAGAAGAGGAGUGUGGAAUUUCCUGUGUAGCGGUGAAAUGCGUAGAUAUGGGAAGGAACAUCGGUGGCGAAGGCGGCACUCUGGACUGAUACUGACGCUGAGGUACGAAAGCGUGGGGAGCGAACAGG
rnacentral:rRNA from 1 species